rnacentral:rRNA from 1 species
CAGUCGCCGCGGUAAUACGAGGGAUCCUAGCGUUGUUCGGAAUCAUUGGGCGUAAAGAGUAUGUAGGCGGCUUUGUAAGUCAGUUGUGAAAGCCCCGGGCUUAACCCGGGAAGUGCAAUUGAUACUGCUAAGCUUGAAUUUGGAAGAGGGUAGUGGAAUUCCUGGUGUAGUGGUGAAAUACGUAGAUAUCAGGAGGAACACCGGAGGCGAAGGCGGCUACCUGGUCCUAAAUUGACGCUGAGAUACGAAAGCAUGGGGAUCAAACAGGAUUAGAUACCCGCGUAGUCCCUGUCUCUUAUAC